CAAAAGGCAUGAAGGAAGCAGAAGACGAUCGGAAAGCAGCAGUAUUUCAUAGGCGACAGCCCUGGUUGUUCAGAUAGGUAUCUACAGAGUGAGAACGGAAUUGCAGAGUAGAACCAAUGGCAUUAGUGGCUUUAGUCUAUUGAUUGAUGCAUGAUGUGAAGCACAUCCCCAACAGUGUCGUCAGCUUUGGAAAACAGAGCCCUGUGAGCAGGUGACCGGGCAGCUGCUGGUGGCUGAGGAUAAAGCUGGCUGUCCUGUGAUGAGUCAAAAUAGCAUUGGUUUUCAUUUCACGUGAGGUGCUUACGUUAACAGAGAGCGCUAAAGGUGAAAACAGAAAAAUAAGAAUUCUGCAAGUACCAUGCUGAACAAGGCAUAAAAGCUGCACUGCUCCCAAGAGCCGUGUGUUAUUUCUGGAAGGAAAAAAUUCUCUAAAGACUGUUUAUUGCAUAAUUAGAAUAAUGCAAGUGAGGAAUAGGCAAAUGUAGUGGUAGAGCUUGCUGCAGGAUUGUCUUCUGCUAUGAGACGGGUGGCUUACCUCAGACUCACAGCAAAACAGAUGGCUAAGCAUGCUUGGGGCGUUUCUGGAGGAGGCGAAGAAUGGAAUGCAAAGGAAAGAAAAUGGUCCUUUCUUGUGGGUACUGUGAAAGGAGAGAAAUUGUGCAUCAGUGUUUCCCAGUUCAGUACCAACCCCUCCAGGUAAAUCUGAAUGUUAGAGCUGAUGAGAUUCAGUUACUGAGAAACAGAAGGCUUACCUGUUCUGAGCUGUCUGAACCGGAGCUUUCAUUGCUGUCAAGUUGCUGCUGUAGAAAAAUACUUACUGCAUUGGUGACAGCAAGGACCAUGCUCAGAAUGCAGGACAGCAGCAGGAACUUCAUUGUGAGAGAGACUCCUGUGAAGCAGACAGCAAGCAGAGUUACAGCUUUUGGCUGAAAAGGAGAUGUGGAGGAGUAAUAAGGCUGUCCUCUGAGAGGAGUGACAGGGAAAUGGGGCAGCAGGAGCUGUGCUGUGAGUUGUGUGCACUACGUUGGGUGUCCUCGAGUGCCAGCCCUGUGUUUGAGCUGGUGAUUGUGCAGCCAGGGUAAGUAAAGGGUGUUUUUUGAGUGGUCUUUGCCAGGAGCUGUUUCUUUGCAGCCUCACAGAAAGGCUGAGGGACCUCUGGAGCUGAUGGUGAUCACCCCCCUCCCAUAUCCAGGCCCCUCCAGCAGGGUCUGCAGGAGCAGGUUUGUCCAGGACUGUGUCCAGGUGGGAUCGGAGCCUCUCCUGUGGUGGAGGCUCUACAGCCGGUAUGGACAACCUGCUCCAGCACCUGCCUGCAGCAUAGCUCAGGGUCCAUGUGUAUAACAACAUCAGUAGAAUUCACCAUCAAUGUGUUCAUCAAGGAGAAGUCAUGCCUGACAGACUUGACAAGGUCCUGCAAUGAAACAGCCUGAUGGAUGAGCGGAGGGCAGUGGAUAUUGUCUUCUUUGGAAUCAGUAAGGCCUUUGCCACUGUCUCCUGCAAUGUCGAAAGAAAUUUGACUUCUUUGAAAGAAAGUCCUCAUCCUCAGUGAAAAGAACUGACAGUGACUGUAGAAAAGAAAUAAAAGUGCCCCUCCAAAAUGGGCAGAAGUGGGAAUAACUGGAGAUUGAUUUGAGUAACGUGUGGAAAUCCUAAUCUGCCUUGGAGAUGUAGUUGUUUGCCUCAGGGAACUUGGACGGUUUUAAGGAAAGUCUUCCCUGUUUGUCCUGAUGAGUUCUGUUUCACUGCAUCUUCUUCUGUCACUUAGCUGGAGCAGAGCCCCAGUUGGUUUUAAGCUCUGUGGAGAAUAAGACAAUCCCUUGUGUGCUGACCUUUCCUAAACAGGCUGAUGAACUAGCUUUGAUUGUUGUAAACAGGCUGAGCCAUGGCUGUGGUCAGGCAGAACAAAAUGCUGUCAAAACUUCUUCCUCCCUAAGAGAUUUAAAGUCCUAGAGAAAGGCUCUUUAUCAAAUGGAAUUUGCACAGAGCAAGCUAAUAUACACUAAUCCAAAUUCAUGUAUAUGCCCUGCUGUGUGAUGUUACAGAAGGUGCGGUGGGUGACAUGUCAGGUUUACAGGAGGAACUGUCAGCAAAAUAUGUUUUGGUGGUCACCCAUCCUUUUUUUAUGAAAGAUAUUCCAGUGCUGAACUUUCUGAUGGCUUUAUUCAUUGCCCCAUGGAGAAUCAGGCCGGAGUUGCACUGGGAUAAGCCCUUGCUCAUACGAGGGCAAAGGAGCAGGAGCCAGGUGGAGUUCUGUGUUCUGAGCUACCCGAAUGGCAUUUCUGAAUGCCAUUCCUUUUGACAUGGUUCAGGUGAAGGCUGUUUUCUGAUCUCACUCUGUAGGAAGUGUUUGGGGUCUCCUGCUUCCAGCAGAGUACAUCUGGAGUGGUUGUUUUUGGUGAAGUGCUUGGCUUGACAUCACAAACAUACUCAUAUGUAAUGAUCUCCUUUUUUAAAUUGCCAUGUGUUCUGCCAGUAUGCAUUUGUAAUGUAACUGUUCUUGGAUCAGCCUGUUGUAUUUUCCGUAUCUAAUUGAGUCUACAUUGCCCAGUUUGUGCUUUGAUUUACUUCUGUGUAAUUCAGCACUCAGAACCCUAGCCAGAAUAGAAAUGUUAGUAAGAAAUUGAAGAAUUUAAAAGAUCACUUGAAUUUCUUCCUCCAGCUCUAAUGAUGUAACUGCAUUGUCCUAUUUGAAAGGGAUUACUUACUUUUCUCUUUUCAUUUAGAAAUUCAGAUAUAUUCAAAUUGUGUUCAUAAUUGGAUAUAGAAGGAUUUUUAUCUUACCUACUCUAAGAAGAGUGAAGGCUCCAUUAAUGUCCAGAAUUGACUUGUAUAAGAUCAGUUGUUAAUAGAGAUUUGGCUUUGGCUGCUUUGGCUGCA